CUCUCUCUCUCUCUCUCUCUCUCUUUCUCUCUUUCUCUCUUUCUCUUUCUCUCUUUCUCUCUGUCUUGUUUCUAAUUGUCAUUAAGGUUGAUAUUGACAUUUUUAUUAUUUGCUCAAGUUAUAUGUAUUUGGCUUUCUAUUUCAUCCCAUCAUUUCCUUCUCUCCUUUUUUCUCUCACAUAAAUCAUAAUUCAUGUUGCUGCCAUAUUUAUUUUAGACAUGUUUAAUUCUUUUGUAGUUUUGUAAUUUGAUUUAAACAUAAAUACCCAAAAAUGUUGUAGACCUUUCUCCAGUUGUAACAGUGAUGUCAUGUUGUACAUGUAUAACAUGCAGUGUAUUUCUUUGCAAGUUUGACAUAAUGACAGUUUAACUUUAAGUGUAAUUAUAAUCUGUAAAUGAUUAGAGUAGUCUGUCUACAUGGCUCUUGAAAAGCUAUUAAAUUACUGAUGUCUUGCUGAAGCUGUAGUGUAAAUCUUAAUACUUCUUAACAUUUUUCUUGUCAUUUUACAUAUUUAUUUGAGUGAGCUCAAAAGAUGUAUUUUCUGGCUAACAUUUUAAACUGAUUUGCAAGUUAAUAAUAGUUUUAUGUACUGGCUUUCUUUUGAUUUUUUUUAUAUUGGGCAUCAGAUUACUGUCAUAGCUGGUAUACAAAAUUGCCUGCUUUCAUGCACAGGAAUAUUAGAAGGCUUACAGAAAGGAAAUGGGGAGAAGAGCAGUUAGUUCAAGGGCCCAUUGCUUGUUGUGGUCUUUUUUUUUCAGCUGAGAGCAGUCUGUAUGUAUAAUAGAGUAGCGUAGACUUCUCUUCUUCCCUCCUUCCAUGUAAGUCCGCAUUAGCAGGAUGGGCGCUUCUUCAAAAGAGCUGUAGAAACUAGACCGUGAGGAGCGCAUGGGUCAUAAAGUCCCAAACUGCACCGUUGGCUACCCCCUUCUUCCUUCAUUUAUGCGGUUCGCAAGAAAUUACGAUGAUGACGACGAGUAUUGAGUUCAGGCCUGGAUGAUUGUUGCAUGAUGCCAUCGCAUGCUGCUUCAUAUUUAGGCACUUAUGACAUGUCUAUAUACAGUAUAAGUGUUGAGGUGGUAUUCAAACUGUAGAUUAUAGGGGUAUUUUAAGAUUACAUACUUUUAGGCUUGGUUAUAAUCCUUCAAUUUUUACUUUAUUGAACUCAUAAAAAUACAACUCAUUUUGUGAAAGUUUUGGACUGUAAGAUGGUUCUUGUGAAGAGCUAUAAACCUGCAUUACAAUGGUGAUAAAAAUUGUGAUACAGGGAAUUAGAACCAAAUAUAUUUGCGAUGGUAACCUGCAACCUGGGCCUAGUAUUGUCUGGUCAGUUUUAGCAUCUUGCCUUCAUAACUACUCUUCCCCUUACAUUAUCUUUAUCCAUUACCUAUCUACCUGUCUACAACCCUGGAUGCUUCCCCAGCCAGCCAAAGACAUAGUGAUUCUUAUAAAGAUUGCUGGGUAAUAAAAUCCAUUACAUUCAUAAUUGUUUCACUAUAAAUUUUUGUCUAUGUAUUAAACUCUACAACCAGUAGUUUGCUCUUCAUGUUGACCUGUGUUGCACCAAAUAGCUUUUCACUGGGCACAAAUAUAAUGCAUAAUUGUUGUUUACUUGGUAAAAGUGGAGGUAAUAAAUUGAAAAGAAAAUUAAUAGCAUUUUAGAACAAUUUUAUCUUAAGUUUACCUUAUGCAUAGGAAGGUAAUAAUUCAUUUCAUAUAGUAUUUUUUAGCUACUCUAGCAAUUUUACCAUAGGAGCAUGGAAGAAUCAUGAUAUAUGAUUGAUUCAAAACAUUAUGUUGGGUAACUACCAACCCUUAGAAUCAUGACAGAUUUUUUUUCCUAUGUAGAAAAACUGGUAUCCAGUCUUUAUGUGAUUUUGAUUGCGAGCCAUGUAUAAAAUUUUCUUAAUUUCAAGAAAUCAAGUUAACCAUCAGUCCUUCAUCUUGUGUGCAGCACUUGGGCACUUGAUCCAUUUUCUGUGCUGUAAGUGGCAGACUUUUUGUGGUUAAAGGCCUUUGUAUAACUUAAAAUCACUGCUGUAUAGAAACUUGAAUAAAUAUGUAAUGUUAGCACUUUGGGAAUUUAUUCUAUAAUUUUUUUCUUUUAAGACAUGUACUCCUAAGAUCACUGCCAACACAUUAUUUCAACAUUACUGAAGAUGUGAACUGAGAGAAUUUUGAUAAUAAAUAUAUACUUAAAGGUAUAUAUAUAUAGCUUCACAUGAUCUGUGCUGAAGUUUAGCUUGGAACACCUUCUCUUCCCUACAGGUUCAGAUCAGUGCUGCCUGAAACAGACUUUAGGAAUGAAUUUCAUAAAGUAAACUUUAUCUAGUACUGAACUGAACUAAGAUAUCUGAAAAUAGUUACUUUAUCAGAGGAUAAAUACAUGGUUAGUGCACUUGAAGGUUUACCAAUAAUCCAAACUCUGUUUCAUGCAGCAUAUCUAACACAUUCUGUGAUAGGGACUGUAGUGAUUCUUCUUUGUUAUUGUAUUUAAUCUCUCAACAUUACUACUAUGAACAAGUUCUGUUUUUAACUUCUUUUUCUGUUUCAUGAGCAUAAUGGUAAUUACCAUAUUGUAUCAUCCUGUAACUGUACUGUAUUUUUUGCUUCUUUUAUACUAUGCAUUUCUCACAGAGCUUGGCUUUUGAUGGAUAAUUUAAGCAGUUAAAAUGUAUUAGGGAAUUACAGUCUUAUGAUUAAGGAUCAACUGGAUUACUAUGGAAAGGGAACUUCACCAAUGUAAUUUAUUCUGAUUUUGGGUGUGAUUACUGGAGCUCAUUUCUUUUUAUUAUUAAUUUUAUUUUGAAUUUUGUCUGCAAUUUGAUUACCAAAUAGUUUUUUUAUUAUUGGAUAAUUUUAUCAUCAUCAUCAUCACCACCACCACCACCGCCACCUCCUCCGUUUUUGUCGUUUUAAGUUUCCAUAUUGUAUAAUUGUGAAUGAAUUUUCUUGUGAAAAUGAACUAGAAUGGUAGAUGAGUUUACUGCAGAAGUGCCCAACUUAUGGUUUGUACUGUACAGUAUUGUACAUAGGCAUUCAGUAAAGUUUUCUUUCCAUAACAA